rnacentral:lncRNA from 1 species
UCAAUUUUUCUGGCCAUGGUAAAUUUGGCCCAGUAGGGGGCAAUCCUGCCAAAGAACUUUAUCAACAUUUCAUUUCACUUCAUUUCUUCCCAAGUCCAUUGCAAAACAUAUCUUUGAAAUCAGCAGACCAGUCUAAAGGUUUUUUGCUUAAUGGGUUCAACCUUUCAUAAAGGAAACUGAAAAAUCCAACUACUAGGAGCGUCUCCUAGUGAAAACUCUUGUGUUCCCAAUAUUGGACACAGACCAGAGAGUAACUGCAACCAUAGACUAAUUACAUCAACUUUCCUUGGGUUACCUUUGAGCUCCCAAACCUUUUUAGACGGGAAAACCAAUAACUACAACAUGUGGACCUGGAUGAACAGGGCAAGAAGAAAGAAGAACUACUGGAUCCAAACAUCUUCAAACAAGGCACAUUCAUCCUAAAGGCAACACCAGGCAUGCCAUCUUGAAAAUAACCUGCUGUGAGUUCAAGGCACCUUACACUUAGUGAAGUAGGUACAAAAUUGAAGGAAAAAUUUAGUUGUUGCUAUUGUCUACUUUCAAGUUAUUUCUGAUUUACGAUGCCCCUAAAACAGAUCUAUCAUAUGGGGUUUUCUUGGCCAGUUUUGUUCUAGGUUUAUCUCUGCCUUCCUCUGAAAUCCUCUGUGAUUUACAUGUCAAUCAGUGGGUUUCUGUGACUGAGUGGGGAUUAUAACCAUGGUUUCUAGAGUCCUAUUCCAGCCCUCAAACCAAUAUGCUAUUACGUUCCUUGCAGACUAAGCAUUAGUGACUGAGUACUGGGGAGAUGCCAAGAGAACUCAAUGCACUGCUUUGUUUGUUUUACUUUUAAGUUCAGGGAACUCUGCUGGCUACCACGAUCCUUAACACACUCUUUGUUUUCUGAUCCCUUUGCUUGAAUUUGUUUGGUGAUGCAUUUUUCAUCCUAUAUACUGCUAAUGAACUCAUUUUUCAAAUGCGAAUCAUAGCCAGCAUCAAUUAAGCACAAAAAAGAGAUAUCAUCCAACUUGGUGAAAUCUAAAGCUCUGCAGAAAUAGAACAAAUCUUUAUAAAAAAAAGAGAGAGAGCAAAAGGGUACCAGCAGGGCCGGCCCAAGGAAUUUUUCAAGUGUAAGCGAAACAGGAUUUUGGUGCCCCCCCCCACCCCCCCAAAAAAACCCAAUCACCGAGAAAUAAAAGGUAGAAGGUAGAGGUGAAUAGAAUGGAUAAAAGAGUUUACCUUACAACCAGAAGUUUAUUAACAACAUUAUGUUCAUAUAGUAACAUUACAUAGAAUUAACACCAAUCUUGCAUUUUAAUAAAUAAAUAUUUUAAUAAACUUUGCAACAAUUUUAAUUUUUUUGUUAUUUCUAGUCUACAAGUACUACACAAAGGUUUCCUGGUCAUGAUAUCUCUUCAGAAGAUUUUUCAGACUUCGGACUAGCUUCAGAUCAGUUUUGUUUGGGAGAACGCAGCCCCAGGAGAAUAGACACUUCCUUUCUCAGGAAGUGAACUCUUGUCCUUCAGAAGUGCCACGCCAGCGUGGACCAUUGUAAUGGGUGUAGCAAAGCAGGGUAAAUCCAGUCAUGAAUCAAUCAGGGCCAGCUAACACCUCCCAACAAAGUAUUCCCAUCAUCAAAGUCUGGUAAAUCCUCUGUUUUCUCACGGCCACAGAUGGUAGAAGUACAUACCAUAUCGCAAAGAACACCACUCUGAAAACAGGGGAAUUCCAAACAGGAAACAAUCAGGGCCAGCUAACACCUCCCAACAAAAAAUUCACUCAGAGAGGAAACAGCCAGGCUGUAAAUCUGCAAAGCCAUUACCUCCUUAUCAUUUUUCCUAAUUGUGAGGUAUCCCUCACAACC